rnacentral:rRNA from 1 species
AGUGUAGGCGGUUGAGUAAGUCAGUGGUGAAAGCCCUCAGCUUAACUGAGGAAUUGCCUUUGAUACUGCUUGACUUGAGGACAGGAGAGGAAAGUGGAAUUCCCGGUGUAGCGGUGGAAUGCGUAGAUAUCGGGAGGAACACCAGAGGCGAAGGCGGCUUUCUGGACUGAUCCUGACGCUGAGACUCGAAAGCUAGGGUAGCAAACAGGAUUAGAUACCCUGGUAGUCC